rnacentral:lncRNA from 1 species
AUGGACUGGGACUUUUUCCCGGGGGAGUUCUCCCAGGGUUCCGGCAGAUUUUCUAAGAUGCUGCUACAUUACACCCAGAGCUCAAAUGGUUUACUAUGUGCAGGCAAAGGAGGGCAGAGUCAGGAGAGCCCCACAUUGUUCAAUAAUAGCAAGCCUGAAAUAUCCUCGGAGGCAUUCACCCCACCGGAGAACAGGGAAAAGCGGACAAAGCAGGCAGUCAUCCACUUGGAAGAGACUGAGGAUAACAGGAAUUCCCGAAAGCAUUGUCCCCAGCCCCAGGGUCAGGGCUCACUCUCUGAAAUCCCACCAUUGGCACUCGGUCCCUUUGGGUUAAACAUGGCUCUCUCUGGACUUCUCUUAAGGUGCAAAUAUCCCUGUGAGGCCUUGGGCCAGAUAUUAAGUAACAAGUACCUGGGUGUAAAUUAGUUUAUCCGAAGCUUCCUUCCUUGGGGAAAUCUGAGCCCUCUGAGGGCUUGGAGCUGGGGGAAAAGGGAAGUGAGGAGCUUAAAGGAAGAAAAGAAGGAUGAGAGAGAAAAGUGGAAGAUACUAAAGAACAUUUAAGGACUCUAUAACUUCGCUCGAGGAUUUGGAGGUGGAGGAAGGAAUAUGGGACCCAAAUCGCCAUCAGGCACCUUAAUCACAGCUUACAUGCAAACAUGGCCCCUGCAGAGAGGGCCUUAGCAAGAGGCACCCGCAGCUUCUUCUUCAAAGACAGGUUGUCUUGGGACUAAUCAACCCAGACUUCACACAGCUUUGGGACCAACCACUCAAGGAAAGGAAGGUUAGCUUUACCACCUGCCUGCACUGCCCCCAGGUGGCCAGCAGAUGGCCCAACAGAACACCCAAAGGGGCCUUGAGGAACAGAUUGCCAUUUAAACCUCCUUUCCCCAUGGGAACAGAAAAGCUACAAGAUGAGGGCCCUCCCAGGUAUCCCAGGAGGUGGUUAAGGUCUCUGAGUUUAGGGAUGGGUGCCCAGCAGGCAGGGGCAGUGCAGGCAAAAGAAGGAUGUUUUCUUUGCUCUUUUUUUCUUUUUUCUUUUUUUUGGUGGAGAAAAUAAAGGCCUUUUCUGGCACUGCUAAGGGCGAGUU